UCCCCUCUUAGAACGCUUGCUGGGUCUGAUCUGUGGCCUCGGGAGCCGUCAGGGAAGGGCAGAGCAGUCCGCCAUCACUGUGGGUGAGAUGGCAGCAGGAUGUGCUGUCUGUCUCAAAUCAGUGUGGGACAGAC
rnacentral:snoRNA from 1 species